GAUGAACGCUGGCGGCGUGCCUAAUACAUGCAAGUCGAGCGAAUGGAUUAAGAGCUUGCUCUUAUGAAGUUAGCGGCGGACGGGUGAGUAACACGUGGGUAACCUGCCCAUAAGACUGGGAUAACUCCGGGAAACCGGGGCUAAUACCGGAUAACAUUUUGAACCGCAUGGUUCGAAAUUGAAAGGCGGCCUCGGCUGUCACUUAUGGAUGGACCCGCGUCGCAUUAGCUAGUUGGUGAGGUAACGGCUCACCAAGGCAACGAUGCGUAGCCGACCUGAGAGGGGGAUCGGCCACACUGGGACUGAGACACGGCCCAGACUCCUACGGGAGGCAGCAGUAGGGAAUCUUCCGCAAUGGACGAAAGUCUGACGGAGCAACGCCGCGUGAGUGAUGAAGGCUUUCGGGUCGUAAAACUCUGUUGUUAGGGAAGAACAAGUGCUAGUUGAAUAAGCUGGCACCUUGACGGUACCUAACCAGAAAGCCACGGCUAACUACGUGCCAGCCGCCGCCGUAA
rnacentral:rRNA from 1 species